AUUAAGCACUCCGCCUGGGGAGUACGACCGCAAGGUUGAAACUCAAAGGAAUUGACGGGGGCCCGCACAAGCGGUGGAGCAUGUGGUUUAAUUCGAAGCUACGCGAAGAACCUUACCAGGUCUUGACAUCUUGCGCCAACCCUAGAGAUAGGGCGUUUCCUUCGGGAACGCAAUGACAGGUGGUGCAUGGUCGUCGUCAGCUCGUGUCGUGAGAUGUUGGGUUAAGUCCCGCAACGAGCGCAACCCUUGUUACUAGUUGCCAGCAUUAAGUUGGGCACUCUAGUGAGACUGCCGGUGACAAACCGGAGGAAGGUGGGGACGACGUCAGAUCAUCAUGCCCCUUAUGACCUGGGCUACACACGUGCUACAAUGGACGGUACAACGAGUCGCGAACUCGCGAGGGCAAGCAAAUCUCUUAAAACCGUUCUCAGUUCGGACUGCAGGCUGCAACUCGCCUGCACGAAGUCGGAAUCGCUAGUAAUCGCGGAUCAGCAUGCCGCGGUGAAUACGUUCCCGGGCCUUGUACACACCGCCCGUCACACCAUGAGAGUUUGUAACACCCAAAGUCGGUGGGGUAACCUUUUAGGAGCCAGCCGCCUAAGGUGGGACAGAUGAUUAGGGUGAAGUCGUAACAAGGUAGCCGUAGGAGAACCUGCGGCUGGAUCACCUCCUUU
rnacentral:rRNA from 1 species